UACCAGCUCUCCGAGUGGUGUGGAUGUUUAUUGGGCCUAAAGCAUCCGUAGCUGGCUGGACAAGUCCCCUGUUAAAUCCACCGAUUUAAUCGUUGGAGUGCGGGGGAUACUGUUCGGCUAGGGGACGGGAGAGGCAGACGGUAUUUUCGGGGUAGGGGUGAAAUCCUAUAAUCCCGGGAAGACCACCAGUGGCGAAGGCUGUCUGCUAGAACGCGCCCGACGGUGAGGGAUGAAAGCUGGGGGAGCGAACCGGAUUAGAUACCCGGGUAGUCCCAGCUGUAAACGAUGCAGGCUAGGUGUUUGGGCGGCCACGUGCCGCUCUAGUGCCGCAGGGAAGCCGUUAAGCCUGCCGCCUGGGGAGUACGGCCGCAAGGCUAGAAACUUAAAGGAAUUGGGCGGGGGAGCACCACAAGGGGUGAAGCUUGCGGUUU
rnacentral:rRNA from 1 species